GAUGAACGCUAGCUACAGGCUUAACACAUGCAAGUCGAGGGGCAUCAGGAAGAAAGCUUGCUUUCUUUGCUGGCGACCGGCGCACGGGUGAGUAACACGUAUCCAACCUGCCCUUUACUCGGGGAUAGCCUUUCGAAAGAAAGAUUAAUACCCGAUGGCAUAAUGAUUCCGCGUGGUUUCAUUAUUAAAGGAUUCCGGUAAAGGAUGGGGAUGCGUUCCAUUAGGUUGUUGGUGAGGUAACGGCUCACCAAGCCUUUGAUGGAUAGGGGUUCUGAGAGGAAGGUCCCCCACAUUGGAACUGAGACACGGUCCAAACUCCUACGGGAGGCAGCAGUGAGGAAUAUUGGUCAAUGGGCGCUAGCCUGAACCAGCCAAGUAGCGUGAAGGAUGAAGGCUCUAUGGGUCGUAAACUUCUUUUAUAUAAGAAUAAAGUGCAGUAUGUAUACUGUUUUGUAUGUAUUAUAUGAAUAAGGAUCGGCUAACUCCGUGCCAGCAGCCGCGGUAAUACGGAGGAUCCGAGCGUUAUCCGGAUUUAUUGGGUUUAAAGGGAGCGUAGGUGGACUGGUAAGUCAGUUGUGAAAGUUUGCGGCUCAACCGUAAAAUUGCAGUUGAUACUGUCAGUCUUGAGUACAGUAGAGGUGGGCGGAAUUCGUGGUGUAGCGGUGAAAUGCUUAGAUAUCACGAAGAACUCCGAUUGCGAAGGCAGCUCACUGGACUGCAACUGACACUGAUGCUCGAAAGUGUGGGUAUCAAACAGGAUUAGAUACCCUGGUAGUCCACACAGUAAACGAUGAAUACUCGCUGUUUGCGAUAUACAGUAAGCGGCCAAGCGAAAGCAUUAAGUAUUCCACCUGGGGAGUACGCCGGCAACGGUGAAACUCAAAGGAAUUGACGGGGGCCCGCACAAGCGGAGGAACAUGUGGUUUAAUUCGAUGAUACGCGAGGAACCUUACCCGGGCUUAAAUUGCAGUGGAAUGAUGUGGAAACAUGUCAGUGAGCAAUCACCGCUGUGAAGGUGCUGCAUGGUUGUCGUCAGCUCGUGCCGUGAGGUGUCGGCUUAAGUGCCAUAACGAGCGCAACCCUUAUCUUUAGUUACUAACAGGUUAUGCUGAGGACUCUAGAGAGACUGCCGUCGUAAGAUGUGAGGAAGGUGGGGAUGACGUCAAAUCAGCACGGCCCUUACGUCCGGGGCUACACACGUGUUACAAUGGGGGGUACAGAAGGCAGCUAGCGGGUGACCGUAUGCUAAUCCCAAAAGCCUCUCUCAGUUCGGAUCGAAGUCUGCAACCCGACUUCGUGAAGCUGGAUUCGCUAGUAAUCGCGCAUCAGCCACGGCGCGGUGAAUACGUUCCCGGGCCUUGUACACACCGCCCGUCAAGCCAUGGGAGCCGGGGGUACCUGAAGUACGUAACCGCAAGGAUCGUCCUAGGGUAAAACUGGAGA
rnacentral:rRNA from 1 species